rfam:Parasporobacterium paucivorans DSM 15970 genome assembly, contig: EJ69DRAFT_scaffold00024.24
UCCAUCGUGAGGUGGAAUCUGAAGGAAGGUGGAGGCAAAACUCUGGUCUGACGAACAGAAAUCACAUGAGGCUAUACGUUGAGGAUAAGGUUGCCAGACAAACCAAAGUCCAAUUACUACUCGGAAUCAACUAUAGUAAAUGUGGCAGAUGGAUGGAGUGAAAGAAACGUGU